GCAGCUGGGAGAGGAGCCCCAGCCCGGGGAGUCCCAGGUGUUCCCAUUCUGUGAUCAGCACAGAACAUAGACACCUCACCAUGGAGUUUGUGCUUUGCUGGGUUUUCCUUGUUGCUCUUUUAAAAGGUGUCCAGUGUGACGUGCAGCUGGUGGAGUCUGGGGGAAACCUGGUGAAGCCUGGGGGGUCCUUGAGACUCACCUGUGUGGUCUCCGGAUUCACCUUCAGUAGCUAGGACAUGAGCUGGGUCCGCCAGGCUCCAGGGAAGGGGCUGCAGUGGGUCGCAUACAUUUAUGAUGAUGGAAGUAGCACAAGCUAUGCAGACUCCGUGAAGGGCCGAUUCACCAACUCCAGAGACAACGCCAAGAACACGCUGUAUCUGCAGAUGAACAGCCUGAAGACCGAGGACACGGCCACAUAUUACUGUGCAAGAGACACGCUGAGGGGACCUCACUGGGAGCCUACACACAAACCUACCUGCAGGAGGGGAUCAUUACCACCAGGGGGUGCACACUAUGCACAAUUCUGGUUUGUGUUCCCAGGAGCAGGUGCAGAUGGAGGUUACAGGCAGAUGUCUCUGAGCAGGGGCAUGAGGGUGGCAGAGGGCCAGGUCACCCUGAGGGCGUCCCUCUUGCAGUUUGCACUCUGGGCAGUGCUGGCUCCUGUCCAGGGUCUCAAGGUCGUCCCUCAUGGCGCUACAUCUCCUUCAGGUGGUAAUUACAAAGAAGGAGCUGCACAACAGCAAGGGCAUUCAGAUGACUGGUUGGCUGUCCUGUAG